AUUGAACGCUGGCGGCAUGCCUUACACAUGCAAGUCGAACGGUAACAGGUCUUCGGAUGCUGACGAGUGGCGAACGGGUGAGUAAUACAUCGGAACGUGCCCAGACGUGGGGGAUAACGAGGCGAAAGCUUUGCUAAUACCGCAUACGAUCUAAGGAUGAGAGCAGGGGACCGCAAGGCCUUGCGCGUUUGGAGCGGCCGAUGGCAGAUUAGGUAGUUGGUGGGAUAAAAGCUUACCAAGCCGACGAUCUGUAGCUGGUCUGAGAGGACGACCAGCCACACUGGGACUGAGACAAGGCCCAGACUCCUAAGGGAGGCAGCAGUGGGGAAUUUUGGACAAUGGGCGAAAGCCUGAUCCAGCAAUGCCGCGUGCAGGAUGAAGGCCUUCGGGUUGUAAACUGCUUUUGUACGGAACGAAAAGGCUCUGGCUAAUACCUGGGGCACAUGACGGUACCGUAAGAAUAAGCACCGGCUAACUACGUG
rnacentral:rRNA from 1 species